rnacentral:rRNA from 1 species
AUUGAACGCUGGCGGCAGGCCUAACACAUGCAAGUCGAACGAGUGGCGGACGGGUGAGUAAUGUCUGGGAAACUGCCUGAUGGAGGGGGAUAACUACUGGAAACGGUAGCUAAUACCGCAUACCAUCAGAUGUGCCCAGAUGGGAUUAGCUUGUUGGUGGGGUAACGGCUCACAAAGGCGACGAUCCCUAGCUGGUCUGAGAGGAUGACCAGCAACACUGGAGAUGAGAAACGGUCAGGACUCCUACGGGAGGAGGCAGUGGGGAUUAUUGCAAAAUGGGCGCAAGCUGGAUGCGGCCAUGCCGGGGGUAGGAAGAAGGCCUUCGGGUUGUAAAGUACUUUCAGCGGGGAGGCGUUACCCGCAGAAGAAGCACCGGCUAACUCCGUGCCAGCAGCCGCGGUAAUAC